rnacentral:rRNA from 1 species
CCGAAAGGCAGGAGUGCCCGCAAGGGAGCGCGGAGACAGGUGGUGCAUGGCUGUCGUCAGCUCGUGUCGUGAGAUGUUGGGUUAAGUCCCGCAACGAGCGCAACCCUCACCCCUUGUUGCUACCAGGUAAAGCUGGGCACUCUAGGGGAACUGCCCCGGUCAACGGGGAGGAAGGCGGGGAUGACGUCAAGUCAUCAUGCCCCUUACGUCCUGGGCUACACACGUGCUACAAUGGCCGGUACAAAGGGAUGCCACGCCGUGAGGUAGAGCCAAACCCAAAAAGCCGGUCUAAGUUCAGAUUGGAGUCUGCAACUCGACUCCAUGAAGGAGGAAUCGCUAGUAAUCGCGUAUCAGCACGACGCGGUGAAUACGUUCCCGGGCCUUGUACACACCGCCCGUCACACCACGAAAGCCAG